CUUGGGGUUUCCAAGUGAUUUGAGGUUUAGAAAAGCUUGAAGAGAUUGUUUUCGCCGAAAAGUUGCUCGGAUAAGCACAUCAAUACCUAAGACACCACUUGUUACACGGUGAAUUAUAUUUUGGACAGAAGGUAGAGAAAGAAAUGUGUGAAUGACAUGAGGAGAACUGAAGCAUGGUCCUGACCCUGAUUUGUACAUAUGAACAUAUCGACCUUUUGUGGGUUAUUUCAGUUAUCAGUGACAUGUUUGUAAUAAAGUGUGAAGUUAUGUUUUGAAAAUAAAUUGGGUUAUUUAAUACUUAUGUAUAAUAUG